AAGCCUUUGUGUAUUCUUGCAUGCAAGAUGGCUUUCCUGGAUACAGCACACCAAUGGGUUUUGGCUUUUUAUCCAAUUUGCCAGUCUGUUUCUUUUGAUUGGGGCAUUUAGCCCAUUUACAUUUAGGGUUAAUAUUGUUAUGUGUGAAUUUGAUCCUGUCAUUUUGAUGCUAGCUGGCUGUUUUGCCCGUUAGUUGAUGCAGUUUCUUCAUUGUGUCAAUGCUCUUUACCAUUUGGUAUGUUUUUGGAGUGGCUGGUACUGGUUGUUCCUUUCUAUGUUUAGUGCUUCUUUCAGGAGCUCUUGUAAAGCAGGCCUGGUGGUGAUGAAAUCUCUGAGUACUUGCUUGUUUGUAAAGGAUUUUAUUUCUCCUUCACUUAUGAAGCUUAGUUUGGCUGGAUAUGAAAUUCUGGAUUGAAAGUUCUUUUCUUUAAGGAUGUUGAAUAUUGGCCCCCACUCUCUUUGGCUUGUAGGGUUUCUGCUGAGAGAUCUGCUGUGAGUCUGAUGGGCUUCCCUUUAUGGGUAACCCGACCUUUCUCUCUGGCUGCCCUUAGCAUUUUCUCUGUCAUUUCAACCCUGGUCAAUCUGAUGAUUAUAUGCCUUGGGGUUGCUCUUUUUGAGGAAUAUCUUUGUGGUGUACUCUGUAUUUCCUGGACUUGAAUAUUGGCCUGCCUUGCUAGGUUGGGGAAGUUUUCCUGGAUAAUAUCCUGAAGAGUAUUUUCCAGCUUGGAUUCAUUCUCUCUGUCACAUUCAGGUACACCUAUCAAAUGUAGAUUAGGUCUUUUCACAUAGUCCCAUAUUUCUUGGAGACUUGUUCAUUACUUUUUACCCUUUUUUCUCUAAUUUUGCCUUCUUUCUUUUAUUUUUUUUUUCGAGAUGGAGUUUCGCUCCUGUUACCCAGGCUGGAGUGCAAUGGCAUGAUCUUGGCUCACCACAACCUCCGCCUCCUGGGUUCAGGCAAUUCCCCUGCCUCAGCCUCCUGAGUAGCUGGGAUUACAGGCACGUGCCACCAUGCCCAGCUAAUUUUUUGUAUAUUUUUAGUAGAGACGGGGUUUCACCAUGUUGACCAGGAUGGUCUCGAUCUCUUGACCUCGUGAUCCACCCACCUUGGCCUCCCAAAGUGCUGGGAUUACAGGUUUGAGCCACCGUGCCCGGCCCUUGCCUUCUCUUUUUAUUUCAUUGAGUUGAUCUUCGAUCUCUGAUAUCCUUUCUUCUUCUUGGUCAAUUUGGCUGUUGAAACUUGUGUAUGCUUCGCGAAGUUCUUGUGUUGUGUUUUUCAGCUCCAUCAAUUUGCUUAUAUUCCUCUCUAAGUUGUUUAUUCUCAUUAGCAUUUCAUCAAAUCUUGUUUCAAGGUUCUUAGUUUCUUUUCUUUUUCUUUUUGAGAUGGAGUUUCGCUGUUGUUACCCAGACUGGAGUGCAAUGGCAUGAUCUUGGCUCACCGCAACCUCUGCCUUCUGGGAUCAAGCAAUUCUCCUGCCUCAGCCUCCCGAGUAGCUGGGACUACAGGUGCACACCACCAUGCCCAGCUAAUUUUUGUAUUUUUAGUAGAGACGAGGUUUCACUUGACCUCAUGAUCCACCCACCUUGGCCUCCCAAAGUACUGGGAUUAUAGGCAUGCCCGGCCUGGUUCUUAGUUUCUUUGCAUUGGGUUAGAACAUGUUAUUUUAGGUCAGAGAAGUUUCUUAUUACCCACCUUCUGAAGCCUGUUUCUUUCAAUUCAUCACACUCAUUCUCCAUCCAGCCUUGUUCCCUUGCUGGUGAGGAGUUGUGUUCCCUUGCUGCUGAGGAGUUGUGAUCCCUUGUAGGAGAGGUAUUCUGGUUUCGGGUGUUUUCAUCCUUUUUGUGCUGGUUUCUUCCCAUCUUUGUGGAUUUAUCCACCUGUCAUCUUUGCAGUUGUUGACUUUCAGAUUGGGUCUCUUGAGUGGACAUUGAGUGGACAUCCAGUUUGUUAAUGAUGAAGUUAUUUCUUUCUGUUUCUUAGUUUUCUUUCUAACAUUCAGGCCCCUCUGCUGUAGGACUGCUGAGGUCCACUUCAGGUCCUGCUUGCCUGGGGAUUACCUGCAGUGGCUGCAGAACAGUAAGGGUUGCUACCAGUUUCUUCUUCUGCUACUUUGUCCCAGAAGGAUACACACUAGCUGUCAGUCUGAGCUCUCCUUUAUGAGGUGACUCUAUGGAUAUACAGGGGUCAGGGAGCUGCUUGAGGAGAUGGUCUGUUCUUUAUUGGAGCUCAAGUGCUGAGCUGUGAGCUCCGUUGUUCAUUCAGAGCUGCUGGGUAGGUAUGUUUAAGUCUGCUGCAGCAGAACUCAUAAUCCCCCCCCCCUUUUUUUCCACAGGUGCUCUGUCCCAGGAAGUUAGGGCUUUAUUUAUAAGUUACUGUCAUGCUGCUGCCUUUUAUCAGGGCUGCCCUGCCCAAUGAGGAGGCAGCCUAGUCACUGUCUGCCUGCAGAGGCUUUGCUGAGCUGCUGUGGGCUCUACCCAGCUGCCAUGUGAACUUCCCUGCAGUCCUGUUUAUACAGGUGUAGUUAGAACUGCCUCAGCAGUGGCAGCCCACCUCUGUAAUGGUGGACUCUCUCUGUAAUUGGGGGUUGCCUCCGCAAUGGUAGGCUGCCUCAACAAUGGUGAACUACCUCAGUGGUGGACUGCCUCAGUAAUGGUGUACGUCCCUCCCCCACAAAGCUGGACUGUCCCGGGUUCAGCUGUGCUUGCUGUGAAACUCAAUCCAGAGCAUUUCAGAUUGCUGUGUUUUUGUUGUUUUUUUUUGAGACGGAGUUUCCCUCUUGUUACCCAGACUGGAGGGCAAUGGCAGGAUCUCGGCUCACUGCAACCUCCGCCUCCUGGGUUCAAGCAAUUCUCCUGCCUCAGCCUCUAGAGUAGCUGGGACUACAGCUAAUUUUUUGUAUUUUCAGUAGAGCCGGGGUCUCACCAUGUUGACCAGGAUGGUCUCCAUCUCUUGACCUCGUAAUCCACCCACCUCAGCUUCCCAAAGUGCUGGGAUUACCGGCGUGAGCCACCGCGCCCGGCCCCCUGUGCAUAUUUCACCUGGCUCUGCAUGGCCUGCAGGGUGGCUCUCGGAUAGGCAACCCCGCUUCCUGGGAAUAGCCCUGCCCCUUUGUCUCCGCCCCUCUGCCUUUCCCGGCAGACGCUGGGAUCUCUCUACCAGCUUUGGAAGGCGUUUGCUGUAGCGUCCUCCUGACGUCAGCACGCAAUUGUCGUGAUUCCUGUUUCCCAGUCUAUUCCGAGGCCCCGCCCAUUGCCUGCUUGCCUGGAAACAGAAGUGCGCUCCCGGAAACGGAAGUAAACGCUGCACUCCUCGUGCAUCCGCGUGCUGGCUCUUCUACACCGAAUAAAGUUCCUCCCACCAGACGAGGAGGACCAAAGUAGAGAGGGGGUCAAAGGGGGUUCUCCUGCAGGUCGCCUUCUCCGGUGCCUUUCCCGGAUCUCGGACGUGGGGCCUCCUGCCGCUAUGGCACUUCUUUCCAGACUCCCGCUGGUGCCUCUCGCGGCUUGGGUCCAGGUGCUCCCCUUUCCCAAUCCUCUUCAUCAACCUUUGCAGACUUUCUUGCCAAAGAAGAAAAGUUCUUGCUGGGGUCGUGGUUAUUUCAGCGGCUUCACCGACCUGGGGAUUUCAGCCAGUUUGGGCUGAACCACUGAAAAGGCUUAUGACUGCUAACAGCUCAGGAUGAAUGAGCCUCUGAAGUGCAGAACUGUUCUGAAUAUCAUUUAACUCGUGACAGAACACAGGACGCACUGGGGAAAGAGCUGGUCUGAUAAAGAAGAAGAAAUCAUCCUCAAGAUGAGUCUGGAAUAUCUUAUAUCACACCCUCACUUUUCUCGUUGUUCAAAUGGGACAGACUUCAUAGGGUUGGGCUGAUAUCCCUAAAUCACUAAAACAAUAAGGAGUAACUCACAAGGACCAUGAAGGUGAGAAUAUUUGCAUUUCAUAAUAAAAGGGUUACAUUUCAGAACAUGUAGUAUACUUAGCUAUAUUGUGAAGUCAGGAAAAUCUAGUGCUGCAAAUCUUACAGCAGAGCUCGGACUGUCUUCUUAACUUAGUAGCCUACCUUCAAGGCCCUGUUUGCUUGCCCCUCAUUUCUUUUACUUUUUAAACCUAUUUAUUGUAAACAAAGACACAAACAUACACUUAAUCUAGGUCUACAUAGGGUUAGGAUCAUGAAUAUCACUGUCUUAGACCUUCUAUUGUGUCCCACUUAAGGUAUUCAGGGGCAAUAACAUGCAUGGAGCUGACAUCUCCUAUGGUGACAUGCCUUCUGGAAUCCCUUCUGAAUUACAGUUAACUUUUUUUUAGCAAGCAGAAGGAAUAUACUCUAAACAACAAUAAAUAAUGUGAAAAUAUAUAAAA